GACGAGCCACACGAACGUUAUUCGGAAUUACUGGGCUUAAAGGGUGCGUAGGCUGCGCGGAAAGUUGGGUGUGAAAUCCCUCGGCUCAACCGAGGAACUGCGCCCAAAACUACCGUGCUCGAGGAAGAUAGAGGUAAGCGGAACUUACGGUGGAGCGGUGAAAUGCGUUAAUAUCGUAAGGAACACCUGUGGCGAAAGCGGCUUACUGGGUCUUUUCUGACGCUGAUGCACGAAAGCUAGGGGAGCAAACGGG
rnacentral:rRNA from 1 species